rnacentral:rRNA from 1 species
GAGGGCAAGGCCUGGAUGAGCGGGGAGUUCGCGGGGCUCUGCAGCCCGAUCCCUUCGAGCCAAUCCCGACUCUGCUGACUCCCCGGCUUCCCGCCGCGGUGCCGGAGGACCCCGGUGACUGGGCCCGUUCAACCUCUUCGUCGCUGGCCUGAUAGGCUGAUCAGUCGCACUGGAACUGAGACACGGUCCCCUCUUCUACUCUAAGCUGCGAGGGGGAAUUGUGGACUAUGGCCGAAAGCCUGAGCCCCCGGUGCCGCCUAGGUGCGCGUGUGCUUCAGAAUGUCAAGCACUUUAAGUUUUUACGCAAGGACGUAAGUUUUUACCUUGCUGUUUUGACGUUGUCGAGUUACUAAGCAACGAAUAACUCUGUACCUGCAUGCCCGCUUACACGGAGAUAGCGAGCGUGCAUCCGAUAUUCUGAGUUACUGGCGCACGAUCGUCUCUUGUUUCUUGGAUAGUGUAAAUGCCAAGGCUCACGCUGUCAACUGCAUCCUUGACUGAAAACUGUCCAUACUGUAGACGUAGAUAGGAAUUUUCAUGAUGUACCGUGAAAUGCGUAAAUGUAGAGAGAUCUGCAAGAUGUCCAGGGGGCUACACGCUGGACCCAUGCUGACACUGAGACUGCCCAAGCGGUGAUAUCGCGGAGAGCAUUACGAUGACUCUGAUACUCCGACUACUGCUACGCGCAUGAUCAAGCUAGUCCGUUUGGAAAUCGCUUGGAGUCUCUUGAGUGCUUGCAGCUU